rnacentral:tRNA from 1 species
CCACGUCCGGGUAGGCGAUGACGUGGGCGUUGUAGUUGCCCACGGCGCCGUUGAUCUUGCCGGUCAGUUCGACCGCGGCGAUCUGGC